CAUAAAUUUUACUGAUCAUUAAGCUUUCUACGCGAUAACCAUAUUUAUCCAGUCAUCUGGAUCUUGAGUGGCUCCUGUCCACUCUGUUUGACGCCUCCCUGUUAAUGACUCUGAGCCGCACCCGUUGCGGCUCUUUUUUU
rnacentral:sRNA from 1 species